GCUGCUGGAUCUCAGUCACAGCUGUGCAAAGCUGACAGCAGCUGCAGAAGGACAGAAGACAGAGGGACCCCUGAGCCCUGCUCCCUCAAACCCUGCCCUCCUCUGAUGCACACUCGUGUGCUGGAGCACCCCACAACAGCCCUAGAGCUCAGACUUUGGCUUGUCCCAUCAUAUCAAAUCAUCAAGAUUAAAAGGUCUUCUGGCUCUUCUGAGCAGACAUAGUCAUAGUGAGAACAUGGGGCCUCUGCAAAGCAAGUGAUUUGGAGCACUCCGGGUGUAACCUGGCUGUCAAAACAGGCUGGAACAGGCAACACUUGGGACAUUCAGGGCAGGGGGAGUGCCACUAAACCAUCUCAGCAGGUGCGAUGCUGUCCUGCACCCAUCAGUUUGCAGAUCUGUCUUUUUCUCCAGGACUUCAUGAGGUGAGAAGCUCCCUUGUGACAGCCUCUGCUGCAUGGAUUCGUGACAGGCACCUGGCUCUCGAGGCUGCCAUCCACAGACCAGCCCGAGCACAUGCACACACCUGCCUGCAGCAGGACCAGCACAAGCUAUCUGCUGCCAAGGAAGGUUUCCUCGGCAUCAGAGUCACUAAAACUUCCUUAAGGUAUGCAGGAGUCCUUCCAGACUGCAAAAUGAAAAUCACUGCUCGGAAUCACAGCAUUCAAAGCGGGGAAAUAUCUCUUUAAGGAAACCCAUUGGCAAUAUAACUAAAGGCCCUUAGGCCAAGAUGAUAUUCAACAUAACUCCACCAAGUCAAGAGAAAUACACCAGGGAUUAAGUUUGGCCCAAUAGCAAAAACCACAGGCAAGUGAGACUGAUUCCCAGAAUCAAGUUGACCUGAAAAAUGUAGUUAGGUUUUGCCCUUAAAGGAAUAAUUUUCUUAAUAACAACAGAUAAAAUUAAAUGCUUGUCAAAAUUAUUACAAGCAUAUGGGGAUGAGAUGAUCAACAUUGCAUGAAUUAUUUCCUUCAGCAGCUGUACUUCUAGUUCAUUCUUUCACUGCUCUUUAAUUCCUGAGCUUUUGACCUUUGCACUGCUCUUCUAGAUUUACUACCUGCCCUAUCCAUUCUUGGCUUGUUAGACCCACAGGCUGUGUGGUUUUGGUGAUAAUCCUAGGUUUGCCACUUUCUGUGGGAAUUUCAUGGCUUGACUUUUUUUUCUCACUAUCCUCCAACUCUAUGUCUAGCAGUACACCAAUACAUGAACUAUAUGCCAGACAAUAUUAAGGGUUAAAUGCCUCAUUUUAUCUUUCUGGAUUUGGCCCUCAGUCUCCAACUUAAUGCCUUGCAACCAUUACCAAGCAAGAAUAGUGGUUAGCAUAAGGAAAGAAAAUUCUCAGAAGCAAUGCCUACAUAUGGGACUUGCUUCCUGAGAGAGGAGAAUGAAUGACCACAGAAUAAAUCUCCUUCAAAACUCUGUCCA
rnacentral:lncRNA from 1 species